rnacentral:lncRNA from 1 species
GUUUUUGACUUUGAAUUGACUCCAGAAGACAUGAAAGCAAUUGAAGGCCUCAACAGAAAUUUUCGAUAUUUCAAACUAUUAUUUGCUGCCGAUCAUUCUCAUUACCCAUUUUCUGGAGAAUACUGACCCUGAGCUAUCACCAUUCGCUCUACCAGAGUUUCUCAUUUCCAGGGCUCGGAGAGGACUUCUGUGAGUGGUGGAGGGGAUUAAAAGCAGUCUGUGAAAAAAUAAGAGAGGGGGGAGACGACGGAAAGGGGGAAGAAGAAAGAAACGGGAAAGAGAACAGAAAGGGAAAGAGAAAGAAGGAAAGAAAGAAAGAAGAAAGAAAGAAAAAAGAAAAGAAAGAAAGAAAGAAAGAAAGAAAGAAAGAAAGAAAGAAAGGAAGGAAGGAAGGAAGGAAGGAAGGAAGAAAGAAAGAAAGAAAGAGAAAGAAAGAAAGAAAGAAAAAAGAAAGAAAGAAAGAAACCUGUGGUUUCAGGCUGCUUUGCCUUUCUUUCUUAAAAAAAAAAAAAGAAAAAAGAAAAAAGAAAGAAAUAAUAAAGACUUCAAAAUAAACAUGUUGGUUUUUCCUGAUAAUCAAAAUAAUACAUAAAAAUUACGGAAACAUUGGGAAAUAAAGACAAAGGAUAGAGAACACAGUUAACCCAUAAUUAGCUCAUUUAAAAAAAAAACGUAAAAAAAUAAAAAUACUUAACUUUUGGUGCGUUUUCCUUCUUGAUUUUCCUAUACAUAUGUGUAUGUGUUUGUUUACAAAAUUGAAAUAAUCUUCAUCAUACAGUCUUGUAUAAAUGUUGUUGGUUAGCCUCAGUCCUUUUGCAAGUCAUUAAAAUAAGAUUAAAAAGUUCUGGUGUUAUAUUUGGCUUGUGGUAAAGCAAUGCAUCUCAGGGAUUUAUUUAGUUUCUCAAUCAUCUGCGUGUAUUUUGGCAGUGUGAUUAGUUCUUGUGUAUUUUACCAUUCAUCCAUUUAUCCAUGCAGCACACCUUUAUGGACAUCCUUUAUGUGCCAGACAUUGUUUUAUCAAUAAAUAAAACAGAUGAGAAUGAAAUUAAAAUGAGAAAUGUCUCGAGUUUGUAGUCCAGCAGAAGAAGAAUUCCAUGAAGGAAAUAACGCAUAUUUAGUUGUUAGAAAUGGAUAAAUGGGGGAUAAUUCUGCAGUCUUUCACCUCUCUGGACUCCUCAGAAGCAGAGGCAGUGGCGACCCUUCAUUCCACACUAUUGUUUUUUCAAGAAGUUCAUACAGCAAAUAGCCUUGGAAUAUAGAUUGUGGCCCCCGCCAGAGACAUGGAAGGCUGUUUACUGCUUCAUAAUACAAAGAAAAUAUCUCCCUCCAGAGAAAAGGCAGGGGUGCUUACUGCCUACUGAUCCGGGUUCCCUAGACUCAAGAUUUUUCUCUCCUAGCUCAACCCACUGUGUGUUUAGGUCUCACCUGGUCCCCUUCAUUCCACCCGAUGGAGAUGGGGGUUCAAGGAAACUAGCACAGCAAACCUUAUGGUCGUACACUUUUUUUUGCAAUAUAUACAUAUGUCAAAUCAUCAUAUCAUAAGCCUCAUGCUUACACAAUGUUAUAUGUCAACUUAUAUAUCAACAAAGCUAGAAAAGACGCUGCUACUUUAGCUUUAGCUUUUACUGUGAGUAAUAAGCUGUCCUUCUAUUGGCAUCCAUGAAACCAGGACAAGCUAAUUUGUUAGCUUGCAAAUCCAUCCUUGAUGAUUCUUGAUGGUGAUUUGAAGAAAACUGAGACAAAGAAGGAGAAUUGGUAGUGGUGAAG